UUGAUUACGUCCCUGCCCUUUGUACACACCGCCCGUCGCUACUACCGAUUGGAUGACUUAGUGAGGUCUUAGGACCGACGUAAAGGAGCUUUCGCGAGUUCUUUUUCGUUGGAAAUUUGAUCGAACUACGUUAUCUAGAGGAAGUAAAAGUCGUAACAAGGUUUCCGUAGGUGAACCUGCGGAAGGAUCAUUACCAUGCUAGAAAAAGAAUGAAUGAAUGAAAGGACAGCUAUAUAAUAUAGAAUGAAUUCUAUUCGCUAGUCGUCGUAUGGGACUACGGCCGGGAAAAUGGGCGAGGCGCUCUUGCGAAAGCCUCGGUCGCUUAGUCGCCCUAUGAAUGAAUCCAGACUCGUGUCGUGGUGUCGAUCGUUGCAGACGCGGUUGUAGCGGAGUUGGGAUACCUACCCGCGGUCUCUGCCGAUUUACGAUCAUAUGCGCGCGCGAGAUUUCUGCGAUUCAUAUCUCAGACGUUCGGGAUCGAGACGGUCGUAAAGUAUAUAUAUAUACCGACUCGAUUCUUCUUCGGGUACCUAUCGAAGCUAACGCCUGCGGUUUCGUCUGGGUAGCGGAUUAGCGUUAGUUUCGAGGACCCCUUCCCAGUGUAAGGGGCAGAUUUAAAGAGUCGCUGGCUCUCGUCCGAAAGAGAGCGAUCUCGCUUCGAACUCGCGAAAUUUUCGAACCUCGUCGUUAGUAGAAUAGACGAGGGUGUUUCGAAGGUUCGUCGUUCGGGAUCCUGGGUUCGCCCGGGUGACCGCCCGAAACAAAAAAUAUUCUCAAAUAUAAUCGUUAUAAGAAAGAAAGAAUAAUAGAUUCCAUCAUUCUAAGCGGUGGAUCACUAGGCUCGCGGGUCGAUGAAGAACGGGGCCAGCCCCGAGAAUAAGUGCGAAUUGCAGACACAAAGAGCAUCGACUUUUCGAACGCAUAUUGCGGUAUCGGGCCCGCUCGAUACCACGCCUAUCUGAGGGUCGAAUAAUCGAUAUCGUAAGAACGCUCUCACGAACGAACGAGACUAAAAAUAGAAUGGUUGGAGACUAUUUGAAAUGAAAAUUAGUCGUCCGACUAAGGGACGGUCGCCGUAAAUGGCGCGACGCCUAGAGAGACUCGAUAGACUGGUGUUUGUCCUACGUAAAAAAGGAGAGAAUUCAGGGUCGAUCGAGCGAACGAACGAACGUCGUAUUAGUAGUCGUAAUCGAAGUCGCGUUUGCGUAAUGUUAAAAGCUACACUUCGACCGAAUUGCGACGAACCUAACACGGAACGAAUCUCGAAUUUUGACCUCAGAUUAGACGAGAAAACCCGCCGAAUUUAAGCAUAUAACUAGGCGGAGGAAAAGAAAUUAACGAAGAUUUCCUUAGUAACGGCGAGUGAAA
rnacentral:rRNA from 1 species